rnacentral:rRNA from 1 species
CGCGUGGGUAAUCUACCUCCGAAUCGGGGAUAACCCGCCGAAAGGCGAGCUAAUACCGGAUAAUAUCCUUUAAACAUAUGUUUUUUUGGAUCAAAAGUGGCCUCUAUAUAUAAGCUACUGUUUGGAGACGAGCCCGCGUACCAUUAGCUUGUUGGUAGGGUAAUGGCCUACCAAGGCUUCGAUGGUUAGCUGGUCUGAGAGGAUGAUCAGCCACACUGGAACUGACACACGGUCCAG